CAGUAAGGUCCUAAACAAACGAGUCAGCCCCGUUAACCGGGCCAGCUCGGCAUCAUGUAAUCAGCACCUUAGAAAAGCUCUUGGAGGACUUGGAGAAGCUGUUGCAUUUUCUGGAAAAUUUUCUGGCAGAAUUCAAGGAAAUUUUAGGAAAAGGAAUUUGAUUGUGGAAACACAACCACAUUUUAAAAAUAAUAAAAAAUGAAAAGAAUGAAAAGCUAAAAAAUGGCGGCAAGAUUGAAGAUGAUUGGUAAAUUCACUAUUUUAUAAAAUAUUCAAACGAGUUAUAAAGGAACAGUUUCAUUUCUUACUGAGUAUAACCUUACCUUAUUUUAAAAUAACCGGAAGUUUCUUUUUUCAUGUAGAUAUUGGAGCUAAUUUAAGUGGUAAGCAAUUAUUUAAUAAUGUAAGCAAUUCAGAAGUUGGAACUGAAGAAAUCUAUUGUCAAAAAAUGAUGUAACCCAGGGCAUAGGCAGUCCAAAAAGCUGUGUAGAAUGCAUGUGUGCCGCAAGCACUCAAUGAAAAGUCACACAUUUUUGGGCUGCUAUGCCCAGGGGUAAGAGAGGAGAGGUCAGACAAAAACAGGGAACUUGACCUCGUACCUUGCCCCGGGUCUCAGAAUUUUGACAGCCACUAACAGACCAAGAGUGUAGAAUUUUUAAAUGUUUUGGGCCACCAUGUUGUAACAAGUUGUGAAAGCCUGGUGACCAAGAGGUCCAAGAACUUCCACUUGCGGCGAUUGUUUCCUGGAAAAGGUGAAAGUGUACAUCACAAGGAGUAAAUGGAAAAUAAAAAGAAAUAAAGGGAAUAACGGUAUUUGGGAAGGAAAAUAUAAGGAUAUUUUACAGUCAAAUCCAGUGUUCCAUUGCCAGGAAUAUUGCAAUAUUAUCACACAAUCUUGCAAUAUUGAUCGGCUGAUUGCUCUAGCAAAUUGCAACCGGCCGACACAGACAAAUUGCAAUUUUUACGUGUUGACAAUUUGUCGAUGCCAAGCAUUUGAUUGGCUUGUUUUGUACUAGUAGCCAAUCAGGCUUUAGUUACAAACUUAUGAAAUUUUCAAUUUUGCAGUUGAUGGUUUUUAAAAAAAUUAUAC